rnacentral:rRNA from 1 species
GAUGAACGCUGGCGGCGUGCCUAACACAUGCAAGUCGAACGAAGCUUGACGGAUGAUUUCUUCGGAAUGAAACCAGAUAUGACUUAGUGGCGGACGGGUGAGUAACACGUGAGCAACCUGCCUUUCAGAGGGGGAUAACGGCUGGAAACGGUCGCUAAUACCGCAUGAUGUGUUCGGAUGGCAUCAUCUGACCAUCAAAGCUUUAUCGCUGAAAGAUGGGCUCGCGUCUGAUUAGAUAGUUGGUGGGGUAACGGCCUACCAAGUCUACGAUCAGUAGCCGGACUGAGAGGUUGAACGGCCACAUUGGGACUGAGAUACGGCCCAGACUCCUACGGGAGGCAGCAGUGGGGAAUAUUGCACAAUGGGGGAAACCCUGAUGCAGCAACGCCGCGUGAAGGAUGACGGUUUUCGGAUUGUAAACUUCUUUUCUUAGUGACGAAGACAGUGACGGUAGCUAAGGAAUAAGCAUCGGCUAACUACGUG